AUAUCUAAAUGCUAAAAGGGGAAAGGUAAAUUGCAAGGGAAAAAGAAUGUAGAACUUGCAAAAGAAAUAAAUAAAAUAAACGAUGUUAAGUUGCUGGAAAAGAAAAAAUAAGCAAAAGCGUGAAAAGAAAAUUGGCAAAGCUUCGGCAAUAUGAGCGUGGAAAAACCGAGGAACCCUUUUAGGUUUUAGAGAUAGCUAUUUAUAUUGGUGCUGGUAACUGCUUUCCGUUUCUCAAGUUCUUCAACGUGGCUAAAUGCACGGCGUGGAUAUAGGACACAAACUCCUCAACGUCUCUUCUUCAAGUCUUCUGAGGGCGUUACUUGCGCCAAAAAAGUAGUGGAACGGUGUGACGCUCGUCACACCAUGUGUGAC
rnacentral:lncRNA from 1 species